rnacentral:rRNA from 1 species
CUACGUGCCAGCAGCCGCGGUAAUACGGAAGGUCCGGGCGUUAUCCGGAUUUAUUGGGUUUAAAGGGAGCGUAGGCCGGAGAUUAAGUGUGUUGUGAAAUGUAGACGCUCAACGUCUGACUUGCAGCGCAUACUGGUUUCCUUGAGUACGCACAACGUUGGCGGAAUUCGUCGUGUAGCGGUGAAAUGCUUAGAUAUGACGAAGAACUCCGAUUGCGAAGGCAGCUGACGGGAGCGCAACUGACGCUUAAGCUCGAAGGUGCGGGUAUCGAACAGGAUUAGAUACCCUGGUAGUCCGCACAGUAAACGAUGGAUGCCCGCUGUUGGUACCUGGUAUCAGCGGCUAAGCGAAAGCAUUAAGCAUCCCACCUGGGGAGUACGCCGGCAACGGUGAAACUCAAAGGAAUUGACGGGGGCCCGCACAAGCGGAGGAACAUGUGGUUUAAUUCGAUGAUACGCGAGGAACCUUACCCGGGCUCGAAUUGCAGAGGAAGGAUUUAGAGAUA